UACGUAGGGGGCAAGCGUUGUCCGGAUUUAUUGGGCGUAAAGAGCGUGUAGGCGGCUAGAUAGGUCCGUUGUGAAAACUCGAGGCUCAACCUCGAGACGUCGAUGGAAACCAUCUGGCUAGAGUCCGGAAGAGGAGAGUGGAAUUCCUGGUGUAGCGGUGAAAUGCGCAGAUAUCAGGAAGAACACCCGUGGCGAAGGCGGCUCUCUGGUACGUGACUGACGCUGAGGCGCGAAAGCGUGGGUAGCAAACAGG
rnacentral:rRNA from 1 species